rnacentral:lncRNA from 1 species
UAUUUUUGUUGAGUUUUUUGAAGCUUGAUUGAAUCCUCAUUUCUUUUUCAAGCAAAUUAAAUCGAUGAUGAAGACAAACACAAAACAAUUUUUUUGUAUAACCAAGAAAAUUGAAAAAAAAUACUAGUUAAAUGAAACGAUAUCCAAAAGAUCAUAACAAGUACAACCAUGAUGAAUAACACCAUCAAAAUAUUACAAGUUCAGAAAAUAAAAAUAAGCAGAAAAUAAUUGACUAAAAGCUUUUAAAAUUUCACUCUGAUUUUGGCGAGCUUUCAGUCUUUUCUUCCGACUCAAUCGUCUUCCAUGUCAUCAUUGUCAUUCUUCUCUUCCACUUCUUCACCAUCUCAUUCUUCAUCAGUAUUCUCUUCCUCAUC